UAUCCUUAAUUGCCAGCGCGUAUGGCGGGAACUCUAAGGAGACUGCCGGUGAUAAACCGGAGGAAGGUGGGGACGACGUCAAGUCAUCAUGGCCUUUACGGGAUGUGCUACACACGUGCUGCAAUGGCAGGCACAGAGGGCAGCAAUACCGCGAGGUGGAGCGAAUCCCAUAAAGCUUGUCGUAGUCCGGAUUGGAGUCUGCAACUCGACUCCAUGAAGUCGGAAUCGCUAGUAAUCGUAGAUUAGAAUGCUACGGUGAAUAUGUUC
rnacentral:rRNA from 1 species